AAUCAACGCUGGCGGCGUGCCUCAGACAUGCAAGUCGAACGAUUAAAGCUCUCUUCGGAGAGUGUAUAGAGUGGCGCACGGGUGAGUAACACGUAAGUAAUCUACCCUCGAGUGGGGAAUAACGUCCGGAACGGACGCUAAUACCGCAUAAUGCAGCGGCACCGCAAGGUGACAGUUGUUAAAGGAGAAAUUCGCUUGAGGAGGAGCUUGCGGCAGAUAGUCUUGUUGGUAAGGUAACGGCUUACCAAGGCUACGAUCUGUAACCGGUCUUAGAGGGACGGUCGGUCACACUGACACUGAAUAACGGGUCAGACUCCUACGGGAGGCAGCAGUCGGGAAUUUUGGGCAAUGGGCGAAAGCCUGACCCAGCAACGCCGCGUGAAGGAUGAAGU
rnacentral:rRNA from 1 species